rnacentral:rRNA from 1 species
AUGAACGCUGGCGGCGUGCCUAAUACAUGCAAGUAGAACGCUGAAGGAGGAGCUUGCUCUUCUGGAUGAGUUGCGAACGGGUGAGUAACGCGUAGGUAACCUGCCUGGUAGCGGGGGAUAACUAUUGGAAACGAUAGCUAAUACCGCAUGACAACAGUUAUUGCAUGAUAACUGUUUAAAAGGGGCAACUGCUCCACUACCAGAUGGACCUGCGUUGUAUUAGCUAGUUGGUGAGGUAACGGCUCACCAAGGCGACGAUACAUAGCCGACCUGAGAGGGUGAUCGGCCACACUGGGACUGAGACACGGCCCAGACUCCUACGGGAGGCAGCAGUAGGGAAUCUUCGGCAAUGGACGGAAGUCUGACCGAGCAACGCCGCGUGAGUGAAGAAGGUUUUCGGAUCGUAAAGCUCUGUUGUAAGAGAAGAACGAGUGUGAGAGUGGAAAGUUCACACUGUGACGGUAUCCUACCAGAAAGGGACGGCUAACUACGUG